rnacentral:rRNA from 1 species
AUUGAACGCUGGCGGCAGGCUUAACACAUGCAAGUCGAGCGGAGUGAUGGUGCUUGCACUAUCACUUAGCGGCGGACGGGUGAGUAAUGCUUAGGAAUCUGCCUAUUAGUGGGGGACAACAUCUCGAAAGGGAUGCUAAUACCGCAUACGUCCUACGGGAGAAAGCAGGGGAUCACUUGUGACCUUGCGCUAAUAGAUGAGCCUAAAUCGGAUUAGCUAGUUGGUGGGGUAAAGGCCUACCAAGGCGACGAUCUGUAGCGGGUCUGAGAGGAUGAUCCGCCACACUGGGACUGAGACAAGGCCCAGACGCCUACGGGAGGCAGCAGUGGGGAAUAUUGGACAAUGGGGGGAACCCUGAUCCAGCCAUGCCGCGUGUGUGAAGAAGGCCUUAUGGUUGUAAAGCACUUUAAGCGAGGAGGAGGCUCUUUUGGCUAAUACCCAAGAUGAGUGGACGUUACUCGCAGAAUAAGCACCGGCUAACUCUGUGCCAGCCGCCGCCGUAA